ACGGCUUUGAUGAAGGAGUAGGUCACCGGCCCCCUUUAUCUGUUCUUAGUUGGCCUGGUGAAAUGGAUGCUUAAAAUGCAGUCAGUCAGCUGGGCAGAGAUAACACACACCUUUGAUCCCAGCAGUUGGGAGGCAGAGGCAGGCGGAUCUCAGUGAGUUCUAGGACAGCCUGGUCUACAAAGCAAGUUCCAGGACAGCCUGGGCUGUUACACAGAGAAACCCUGUCUCAAAAAAAAAAAAAAAAAAAAAAAAAAGGAAGAAAAAAGAUGCUGUCACUCAGCCUCAGGAAGGAAGAGAUUAUGCAAUUGACUGAAACUCAAAAGAAAAGCAGCUUUUUAAAGAAAACCCAAAAAGAGAAGCAGGAGAAACCAUGGCAAGUGUACUGGCAGCCUCAGAACACAGGCCUGGCACCUGUCAGCCUUGAGCGGCACCUGGGCAAGGACCCCCAACUCCUAGCAGAACAGACAGACACUGAACUUGAGGGUUCACCUGAACUGGCUGGCCAGCAUGCCCAAGGGACUGCCUGUCUCCACCCUGCCUGCUCCCAGCACUGGGGGUACAGGAGCAUUCCACCAUACUUGGCUUCUUUGUAGGCAAUGGGGAUCCGAACCCAGGUCCCCAGCCCCAGCUUCCUGAAGACACACCUGUCUACAGAUAAACUCCACAGAACACCCAGACAGGGAUGCUCCAAUCUGAAAGGCUCGUGUUGGUGUAAGCACUUGGUGUAAGACUCGAUGCUUGGACCAUAAAUUUUGUCAAUUUCCUAGAAGGGAGCUGCUGGGAAUGUCUGUUUCUGUUAUGAAAUAGAAUUGAAUCAUAAAGAUA
rnacentral:lncRNA from 1 species